rnacentral:piRNA from 1 species
CAGCAUCUUUAACUCUUUCCCCAAAC